ACGAAAGCCAAUAGAUUAAGUAAAGUGUAUGAGAAUGGAGUGAUUCAAUUUCUUGAUUUUGCGGAAAAAAACCUUCAUAAGGCAAAGGGGAUUUUUUGAUGUCCUUGUAAAAUUUUCCGAAAUAUGCACAAACAUCCGAGGGAUGAAAUAUUAAAUCAUUUAGGUUGUGAUGAAAUUAUUCAAAAUUAUACGAAAUAUGUAUGAUAUGAUAAAGUGACAAAAAAAGACAUUUGUCACCUACAGUUGAAGAAGGUG
rnacentral:lncRNA from 1 species